rnacentral:lncRNA from 1 species
AUGUCUUCCUCCUGUGGGUGUUUCGAGGGUCUGGCCUCAUCAGCACCUCCACUCUCUCCUUAUCUGCCCCCAGGGACACCAAGUGGAGGGGGAAGGAAGCCACCUCCCAGCCUUUGGGGAAUGCUGGGGACCUGGAGGCAGGAUGCUGAGGCAGCAGAAGCAGCACCCCAGGCUGGAGGGCAGGGUGCGGAGCCCCCUUGGUGCGGCUUCCAGGACAGAGCACCUGCUCCUGGACGAGAUGGACGAGAUGGAAAACUGGCUUCCAGAGUGAAGCUGGGGCUGCCGUGCCUGCCCUACCCCAAACCGCUGCCCUGGGGAAUGUCGCCCCUCCUCACAGGGCUGGUCAGAGAGCCCUGGGGCCAAGGGGUCUUAAGAUACAUGGUGUUCCUGUGUCUGCAGGGUGGGCCUGCACAGCAUACUCUCCCCACCUAUCAGACCCAGGCCUCGGAUGUUCAAAUAAAACUGUUUGACUUUGGCCUCCUUGGCUGCCUGUCUGGGCCCCACCCCCACCCACAACCUGGGGACAAGCUCAGUUCCUGCAGGGUCUCCAUCGAGUCUAGUGGCCCAGGUUUGGUGCACCUGGCCUGGGGGCGGGGAGCCUUGCGGCCACAAGACCUGCCCCUCCUGCCUAAGUUCCUCAGAGGGAGGAUCCGGGAAUUCUCCUUACAGGAAGUCCCUGCCCAGCCAGUACAGGGACAAAGCCAGGAAAGCAGCCCUGGGGCCAUGGGAACCUGCCUCAGGCUGGGCUGGGGGCAGGUGAGGGGUCCCUGCCAGGCGCAGUGCCAGGCACCUCUGGGGAUCUGGGUGGAGGCAUCUGGAGGGCCCAGGUCUGCCCAGGCCCAGAAGCAACCUGGCUUUGUUGGGAUCCAGUGGGAGGGUGGGCCCUGCCCAGCUUAGACACCUGGAGGUCCUGCUGGCUCCUGGUAGGACCCUGGUGCCUUUGGUCCCCCGCUGGUCCAGGCCCUGAGUCUCCACACACGUGCGAGAGCUCGCAUCGCCUGCCCGACUCCUAUCAGCACAACUGCUGUGCACAGAAGCUGGCCUGGCUUCCCCGUGGGGCCCCCUCUGGGUCUAGCCCUCGGCCUGUGGCAGAGCUGAAGUUCAGUGUCAGAGCAGGCAGCCACUCUGAAUUAUUGCUGUGAUUGGUCCCAACAGCUCUCGGGUGGGUGGAUGGCCUUGCUUGGGGUUGGGGGAGGGAACUCCAGCAACCUGGCCUCCUGCCGCAGCCCUGCCCAGCCUAGUGAGGAUGGGGGGUCCCGGCCAGCCGCUGGGGCGGGGGUUGGGGGGAGACCUGGAGAAGGUAGUGAUUCACAAGUGGGCUGGGGCUUCUUUUUCUCCUGGGCUUCCCGGUCAACCCCCACCCCUGGAAUCCUUGACUCAGGCUCUGAGGUGGAGCUGGUGGAAGGGCCCAUCUGGACGGUCCCCUGAGUCAGCCGGGAGCAGCCUUGUGACCAUAUGACUCACCUGUGCCCUGAUUACUUCCUCCCAGAGUCUCAGCUGUUGGGAAGGGGGAGCUGUGGAGGGAGGCCUGUGGGCUCCCUGGUUGCGCAUAGACUCCUCUCUGCCUUCCCCCUUCCUAAUGGACCCCCAGACCCGCUGCCAGCCACACCUGGGCUGGAGGGGGUCUCCGGGCCGCCCCCUGCCCCGUUGCCUCCUGGGUGGGGCCAGCCAGCAGCUCCUGGGCACCAGCAGGCAGCAAGUGAGCCACUUGGCCGCUCAGAGAGAGCAUCUCAUCCUCGGACCCCACAAGGUUGGGGCUACCGGGGGUGAGGGGAACUGCUCCUCUCUGCUCCUCUUCCCUUGCUGUUGAGGGAAGCUCAUGGCUCCUCCGUGUCCCCCCCACCCCCUAUUCCUACAAAACUAGGGGUAGGAAGGUCCAAGGCUGGGGGGCGAUGACAGCUGGCUCCUGGACAGCUUUCUGUGGGCCUGGCCUGAAGCUCACAAGUGGCGAAGGCGGGGUGAGGUGGCCCAGGGGGAGGGGAGGCCCAGGGGCAGGGGCAGAGUGCUGGGCGCAGGCUCGCUGCCCACACGGAGACGUGCCGGGUGUUCCUGCAAGGUUUUGAGGGGACCCUGCAGAUGCAUCUGUGGGUCUGAUCUAUGACAGGGCAGGGUUUAGAGUUGUCUCCUCCUCCCCUCCAGGUGUGGCUCAAAUACUUAUUAAUCACCUACUCCAUCCUGUUCUAGGCCCGGGGAACAGAGCAGGGAACAACAUACAAAACCUUCAUGGUUCUGAGCAUUUGUUACUGCUGCUGUCGCAGACCUGGAGGGACAGGUACUAUGAGGAAAAAGGUGAGCCUGAGUCAGGGGUGCUGCUUCAGAAAGAUGGGAUGAGAAAGGACUCUCUGAGGAGGUCAGGAAUUGAGUCAGGAGCUGUGGGGAUGUUGGGGAAGGGCUUUCCAGCAGAGGGAACAGCAAGGGCAGAUGCCCUGAGGCAGAGCAGGCCUGGGGUGUUUGAGGCACCAGGAGAUUGUGGCAGAGCAGAGCCAGGGGGAGGAGGAGUAAUAGGGGUGCGAUCCGGAGGGAGGGAGAUCAUGGUCUUUGCUGAUCUCGUUUUGGGGGGUUAUUUUAUCAGACUGAGGAGUAACCUGAUGUGGUUUACAUUUUAAAGUCUCCCUUGGGAGUCCCCUCUCUGGUACAGCGGGUUAAGAACCUGACUGCGGUGGCUCCGGUUGCUGCAGAGGCAUGGAUUCAAUCCUCAGCCAGGUGCAAUGGGUUAAGGAUCCAGUGUUGCCACAGUUGCACUCAGAUUCAGUCCCUGGCCUAGAACUUCCAUAUGCCAUGGGUGCGGCCAUUAAAAAAUAAUAAUAAAAAUGUGAGGAGUUCCCA